rnacentral:rRNA from 1 species
UACGUAGGUGGCAAGCGUUGUCCGGAAUUACUGGGCGUAAAGGGCGCGUAGGCGGCCUUUUAAGUCAGGCGUGAAAUCCAUGGGCUUAACCCAUGAAUUGCGUUUGAAACUGGAGGGCUUGAGGAUCGGAGAGGGCAGUGGAAUUCCCAGUGUAGCGGUGAAAUGCGUAGAUAUUGGGAGGAACACCAGUGGCGAAGGCGACUGCCUGGACGACACCUGACGCUGAGGCGCGAAAGCUAGGGGAGCAAACGGG